rnacentral:lncRNA from 1 species
ACCAUGUACAUUGUAGCCCGAAGAGAUGAUACAUUUCACUGAAUGAUACUACAAUAUGAUUGCACAUAUAUUACAGAGGCAGGAAGGAAACUGGAUCAGGUGAAAGAUUGAGCAACGAUCAGGUGAAAGAUUGAGCAACCGAUGAGGUGGUGACCAGGCCAGAUAACAGACCAACUAGAGAAGCACUGUUGUAGGUGCUGGGCUCAGACUGCAUGGAAUUAU